UACGUAGGGUGCGAGCGUUAAUCGGAAUUACUGGGCGUAAAGCGUGCGCAGGCGGUUCGUUAUGUCCGAUGUGAAAGCCCCGAGCUUAACUUGGGAAUGGCAUUGGAAACUGGCGGGCUGGAGUGCGGCAGAGGAGGGUGGAAUUCCACGUGUAGCAGUGAAAUGCGUAGAGAUGUGGAGGAACACCGAUGGCGAAGGCAGCCCCCUGGGCCGACACUGACGCUCAGGCACGAAAGCGUGGGGAGCAAACAGG
rnacentral:rRNA from 1 species